GUCUGCACUUGUCGGGGAAGGGUGAGAACCCUCGAUUAAGGUUCGACUCGAGCGAAAGCGAGAGAACGUUGCCAACGGCAACGGCCCG
rnacentral:sRNA from 1 species